GGGGAAGUGCCGGAACUGGCAGACGGGCAUGACUUAGGAUCAUGUGCCCAAUGGGCGUGCGGGUUCGAGUCCCGCCUUCCCCACCA
rnacentral:tRNA from 1 species